rnacentral:misc_RNA from 1 species
AACGCACAUUGCGCUCCCUGGUAUUCCGGAGAGCACGCCCGUUCCAGUAUCAGUAAAAAUCUCACCCCAUGUUUGGAGUCUUCGGCCUCCAGGCCCAGGGUGGACCAUGGAUUUUUGCGUUUGGCAAUCAUCUCAAACCAAAUGUAUGUACACCAGAGCCUCGGUCUCUCGGUCGUCAAAGUGCAGCAGAUCUAUUUGUGGUCGCUUGGACGGACCGGUUGGACGACUCUGAUGGACGUGCUCGAUGUCUCCAUCACGUUUCUCGAAUCGCAACGGUUCGGGUUCCGUUAACUUGAUCUGGAAUCGGGUGGGAAAACCCGCUGAACUUAA